GAUGAACGCUGGCGGCGUGCCUAAUACAUGCAAGUCGAGCGAACGGACGAGAAGCUUGCUUCUCUGAUGUUAGCGGCGGACGGGUGAGUAACACGUGGAUAACCUACCUAUAAGACUGGGAUAACUUCGGGAAACCGGAGCUAAUACCGGAUAAUAUUUUGAACCGCAUGGUUCAAAAGUAAAAGACGGUCUUGCUGUCACUUAUAAAUGGAUCCGCGCUGCAUUAGCUAGUUGGUAAGGUAACGGCUUACCAAGGCAACGAUGCAUAGCCGACCUGAGAGGGUGAUCGGCCACACUGGAACUGAGACGCGGUCCAGACUCCUACGGGAGGCAGCAGUAGGGAAUCUUCCGCAAUGGGCGAAAGCCUGACGGAGCAACGCCGCGUGAGUGAUGAAGGUCUUCGGAUCGUAAAACUCUGUUAUUAGGGAAGAACAUAUGUGUAAGUAACUGUGCACAUCUUGACGGUACCUAAUCAGAAAGCCACGGCUAACUACGUG
rnacentral:rRNA from 1 species